rnacentral:rRNA from 1 species
GACGAACGCUGGCGGCGUGCUUAACACAUGCAAGUCGAACGAAGUGGCGAACGGGUGAGUAACGCGUAAUCAACCUGCCCUUCAGAGGGGGACAACAGUUGGAAACGACUGCUAAUACCGCAUACUGAAGGGGGGGUUUGCGUCUGAUUAUCUAGUUGGGGGGGUAACGGCCUACCAAGGCGAGGAUCAGUAGCCGGACUGAGAGGGUGAACGGCCACAUUGGGACUGGGACACGUCCCGGACUCCUACGGGAGGCAGCGGUGGGGAAUGUUCCGACAUGGACGAAGCCCAGAUGCAGCAACGCCGCGUGCGGGAUGACGGCCUUCGGGGUGUAAACCGCUUUCAGCAAUGACGCGGUAGUGGCAGAAGAAGCACCGGCUAACUACGUGCCAGCAGCCCGGUAAUAC